rnacentral:lncRNA from 1 species
AUUUACCUCCCUGAGCCACCGCUAACAGGUCGCUCCGACUACUCAGAGGCUCAGGCUGGCAAUGAGGAAACCAAACCCAGAGAAUGGGGGGUCAGCACCAAAUAACAAUGCCUGUCUCCACAGCAUGGGACCUGGGGUGCGUGCUGGGAGGCAGAAGGCCGCAGUUUGUAUUCUGACCCCAUGGUUUACAAGCGGCAUGACCUGGAGGAAACUUCCGAGCCUCAGCUGCCUCACCCCUGACAUGGAGAUCUCAUUGACGUCGACCCCAGAGCAGCAGUGUGGGACUGAGAUGACGUGUGCCUGGCCAGUAAAAUAAUGAGAAUAAUCUAUCUCGGAGAGCAAGCACCUGGAGGAUUAAAUGAGGCAACAUGAAGCACCCACACAGAGUAAUCACUCCAUACAGGAGGAUAGGAUUACUGUGGUUGACGCGAUUUUUAUUAUGAACCAGGUGGCUUUGGGCAAAUGGCAUAAUGUCUCUCCACCCCAUUUCCCUGAUCUCCAAAAAUAACAAUAAAAGCUUCACAGAGGGGCUCUGGGCAUUCAAUGAGAUAAAACAUGUAGCAUGAGGGUGCCUGGCUGGCUCAGUCUGGAGAGCAUGUGACUCCUGUCCUCCCGGUCGGGAGUUCGAGCCCCACGUUGAGCGUAGAGAUUACCUCAACAAAUUAAUUAAUUAAUUAAAAUCAAAAUAAAACAUGGAGCCUGACCCUACAUAGGCAACAGCUAUUACAGGUCAACAGCAUUUCUACGAUCAUCAUCAUGAUUUGCGCCGGCCCGCAGAGGUAAGCCCCUUGAUUCCUCGGGCUCUGAGGUAUCUGAGCAUCUGGGUGGAGAAGCCCGG